AUCAUUUAGAGGAAGGAGAAGUCGUAACAAGGUUUCCAUAGGUGAACCUGCUGAAGGAUCAUUGUCGAACCUCUUCACCGCAGAAAGACCUGCGAACACGUUACAAACCCCCCUGGGGGCCGAGCAGGGGCGCAAGCUCGACGCUCUGCCCCCCGUCGGGAGGCCUCGGGGAGCCCUCCUGCUUGCCACCACACCUUAAGGGCGGCCCGGGCGGGGGGCUCCCAUUGGCCCCUCUCGAACAAUCAAGAACCCUGGCGCGGAAAGCGUUAAGAAACUCUAACAAAGCAACGCACCCCCUUCAACCCGGCCUCGGGCGCGCGGGUGAGGCGUCGUUGUUUUCUCAAAAACUAGAAACGACUCUCGGCAACAGAUAUCUAGGUUGUCGCAUCGAUGAAGAACGUAGCAAAAUGCGAUACUUGGUGUGAAUUAUAGAAUCUCGUGCAUCAUCGAGUCUUUAAACGCAAGUUGCGCCUGAAGCCAUUAGGUCGAGGGCAUGCCUUCCUGGGCAUCACCCACUGAGGGGGGAACAGCUUGGUGUGCGUGUGCCACGUCGCCCCGGGGCCCCACUCAUCGAAAGGCUCUUUACCCUUCACAGUGACCCUAGGUCAGGAAGGACCACCCGUUGAGUUGAAGCAUAUC
rnacentral:misc_RNA from 1 species